GCCACAUAAACAGUUCAGAUUCCUCUUAUUUGUACUAAAAGGAGAUGAAAAUUUGAAUGCUUCCAUUCAUGUUGCCUUACUAUGACUUUCAUAACCUACAUUGGCUUAGCACUUUAUGGUAAACAUGCUUAAAUGGCAGCAUAUGACAUGUUAAUUGCUUAUUCAAUCUACAAACUCACUGGUUUCAUAGACACCUUGAUGUAUGUCUCUGAUGCACUGUCUAUUUUGUAAAUGCGAAUUGCAGGCUUUCCUUUCAAAGACCAUUGGUUCUAGCUUUUCCACAAUUAAAUGAGCAUCUCCAAUGUUCUCUACAAUUUUCAGUUAUGCAGAUGAGAAGAAUUUGCUGCUCCAACUAUAGAAUUCAUAGCCAGUCACAGUUCAGAUGCAAGGAUUCCCUGGAACAUUUCUGUAUUGAUUUGGUGACAUCGAUAAAGCCUGCCCUGUGAAGUAUGGGUAUCCAUAAAGCGAUCCGUGGGGAGUCAACUGAGUGGUCGCACAAGGUGAAAUGCUUGCCAGCGGGGGAGUAGACAAUGAGGGCAUGGCUUGACUAACUGCAUGUUAUCCUUAUUAGGAUGCUGAUGUUCAAUAAAAACACAUUGGAUGCCUACUGAAAUUACUACAAGAAUCUAACAAAAAGAAGUUUCAAGAAAUUUGAGCAAGCUAGGUCUGAACAACUGCAGAGGAUGCUGAUGUUCAACCAUAAAACAUUGGCUUUCUACUGUCUUUGCAGCUACCAAAAAGAAGCUUAAAGAAAUCUGUACAAGCCAGGAAGUUAAUGAUGUGCGGAAUUUCUCGACAACAAAGAUGAAGACGAAGCCUACUACCCUCAGCAAUCAACUCUCAUUCUGUUCUCUCACACGGCCGUGGCUUUCUUGGCAGCUUCCAGGUUUGAGGUAGAACCAGCAGCAUUCCCAAAUCAUAAUGGAGACCAGACUGGGUUUUGUCAGCUGCUCAUUUUGGCAGCCACAACUCCCACCAUAUUUAGUCACGAUCUGGAAAAGAACUCCUUGAACCCCUCCAAACCGACCCUUUAUUGCCUCCAAAAGCCCACCCCGCGUUUUGACUCCCCGAGAAUAGUCUUGCAGAAAUAAGAAGGAGACGGUUUGGCACUCGAGAUAUAAAAGGCAUGGUUCGAGUGCAUCGACAUCACUUCUUCUCUGUAAAGAUCCUCCCUCCUCCGUGGUGCAACAACGAGCCACAGCUCAAGAACAAUGGUGGGUGUGCAGUUAGCUUCCUUCUUCUUGGAGGUGGCGGAGCUCGCCUCGGUCGCGCAAGGCCCCGUUCUCGGCGGUCGCGCCGUGGCGGUUCAUGGCCGGCACGAGGCGGCAAGUCCAAGAAGCUACCCUCGAUACCAUUGUGGAGGACGACGGCGCGGAUUCCUCAGAGAACUCGCGUGCUGCUGCUGCUGCAGCAGAAGCUCCGUCCUCUGCACGCGUGUUGAGAGCUCGAGAGAAGGAAGCAUCUUCCAGGUGGUGACCUUUAUCACCGCGAUGGGUGAUGCAGGUGUGCGCCAUACCGAGGAAGAGAUGUGGCAUGUGUUGUAGCUGCAUAUGGUCGUGUCAUCUUCCUAGUUUGGAGCGCUUACAUGUAGAGUAGAUAUGAGUUGAAAGUGUCGUAGCUUUGUCAUGAUUGCUUUAGUUGGAUACAUCGAUAUUUUUCUUAUGCUCCAAUUGGUUCCGUCAACUUAACUGAUUUUAAUUACAUCAUAUACUAUUGUUUUUC